GACGAACGCUGGCGGCGUGCUUAACACAUGCAAGUCGAACGAUGAAGCUGGAGCUUGCUCCGGUGGAUUAGUGGCGAACGGGUGAGUAACACGUGAGCAAUCUGCCCUUGACUCUGGGAUAACUGCGGGAAACUGUAGCUAAUACCGGAUACGAGAUUUGGAGGCAUCUCCGGAUCUGGAAAGAAUUUCGGUCAAGGAUGAGCUCGCGGCCUAUCAGCUUGUUGGUGAGGUAAUGGCUCACCAAGGCGACGACGGGUAGCCGGCCUGAGAGGGUGACCGGCCACACUGGCACUGAGAUACGGGCCAGACUCCUACGGGAGGCAGCAGUAGGGAAUAUUGGGCAAUGGACGCAAGUCUGACCCAGCCAUGCCGCGUGCAGGAUGAAGGCGUUAUGCGUUGUAAACUGCUUUUAUACAGGAAGAAACGACUCUUGCGAGAGGCAUUGACGGUACUGUAUGAAUAAGCACCGGCUAACUCCGUG
rnacentral:rRNA from 1 species